CGACGGCGGCGGCGGCAGUGCAGCUGAGCUGGGCUGGAACCGCCCACCCGGAGGUCCUGCAGCAACCUAGGAGGAUGCCCUGGAAGCCCAGCUAGGGCCCGACUUUGGCCCCAUGCGU